rnacentral:rRNA from 1 species
AACACCUGCAGUCGAGCGGCAGCCGAAGAACUUUGUUACUUUGUCCCGAGAGCGGCACACGUGAGAAUUAUGUCUGGAACUCUGCCUGAUGGAGGGAUAUCUCUACUGAACACUGUCUCUAAUACCGCAUAGCCUCACGAGACCAAAGAGGGAGAUCUUCGGCUCUCGUGCUCUCAUAUGUGCCCAUAUGGUAUUAUCUAAUGUGGGGUGUAACGUCUCCUCUGCGACAAUAUCCCUAUGUGGUCAGAGAAUAACACCCCCCACUCUGGAUCUGACACACGGCCCACACUCCUACGGGAGGCCACUGUGGAAUAUAUUGCACUGUGCGCGCACCUCUGAUGCACCUGUGCCGCGUGUAUGAAAAGCGUCUUCGUUUUGAAAAACUUUUUCCGCGAGA